CCUACGGGAGGCAGCAGUGAGGAAUUUUCCGCAAUGGGCGAAAGCCUGACGGAGCAAUACCGCGUGAGGGAUGAAGGAUUUUGGUCUGUAAACCUCUUUUCUCAAGAAAGAAGUUCUGACGGUACUUGAGGAAUAAGCAUCGGCUAACUCCGUGCCAGCAGCCGCGGUAAUACGGGGGAUGCAAGCGUUAUCCGGAAUGAUUGGGCGUAAAGCGCCUGUAGGUUGUUUAUUAAGUCCGUUGUUAAAGCCUAGGGCUUAACCCUAGAAAAGCAAUGGAAACUAGUAGACUAGAGUAUGGCAGGGGUAGAGGGAAUUUCUAGUGUAGCGGUGAAAUGCGUAGAUAUUAGAAAGAACACCGGUGGCGAAAGCGCUCUACUGGACCAUUACUGACACUCAGAGGCGAAAGCUAGGGUAGCAAAAGGGAUUAGAUACCCCUGUAGUCCUAGCCGUAAACGAUGGAUACUAGAUGUUGUGUNAUAUAGUACUAGUAUACGUAGUACGUACGUACGUUACGUAUCCGUCCGUCGGUAGGUACGUACGUCGUCGACGGUAGUAACGUACGAACGGAAAGUAGUACGGACGUGAGACGUAAGUACCGAACGACGACGACGAGGGAGGUAGG
rnacentral:rRNA from 1 species